CUUAACAUGCAGUCGAACGGCAGCACGGGGGCAACCCUGGUGGCGAGUGGCGAACGGGUGAGUAAUACAUCGGAACGUGUCCUGUAGUGGGGGAUAGCCCGGCGAAAGCCGGAUUAAUACCGCAUACGAUCUACGGAAGAAAGCGGGGGAUCGCAAGACCUCGCGCUAUAGGGGCGGCCGAUGGCAGAUUAGCUAGUUGGUGGGGUAAAGGCCUACCAAGGCGACGAUCUGUAGCUGGUCUGAGAGGACGACCAGCCACACUGGGACUGAGACACGGCCCAGACUCCUACGGGAGGCAGCAGUGGGGAAUUUUGGACAAUGGGGGAAACCCUGAUCCAGCAAUGCCGCGUGUGUGAAGAAGGCCUUCGGGUUGUAAAGCACUUUUGUCCGGAAAGAAAACUUCUGCCCUAAUACGGCGGGAGGAUGACGGUACCGGAAGAAUAAGCACCG
rnacentral:rRNA from 2 species